GAUGAAGAACGCAGCGAAAUGCGAUAAGUAGUGUGAAUUGCAGAAUUCAGUGAAUCAUCGAAUCUUUGAACGCUCAUUGCGCCCCAUGGUAUUCCGUGGGGCAUGCCUGUUCGAGCGUCAUUUACCCCCUCAAGCUCCGCUUGGUGUUGGGCGUCUGUCCCGCUUCGCGCGCGGACUCGCCCCAAAGGUAUUGGCAGCGGUCGUGCCAGCUUCUCGCGCAGCACAUUGCGCUUCUCGAGGCACCGGUGGGCCCGCGUCCAUCAAGCUCACCCCCCCAGUUUGACCUCGGAUCAGGUAGGGAUACCCGCUGAACUUAAGCAUAUCAAUAAGCGGAGGA
rnacentral:misc_RNA from 1 species